GUCCCAGCAGCAGCUCUCAUGCUGCUCGUCCAUAACGCGCAAGUGUAGCUGCGGGCGCAUGCUGUGGUGUCAGAGUUGUUGUUUUAGGUUGAGCUUGUUUCAAACAAACUUUGACGCACCCUGCUGUCUGCUGAAGUGUCUCUGCAGCUCCCUGAAUCCCGUCCUGCUCCAACCUGAUCCAUGGCCUCCCUCUGCAAUGAGCACAAAUGGAAACAGAAAUACUCUCUCUGAAUAAUAUCAGAUAAAUAUCAAGAAUAGAACUACAAGUUCAUGUGGAAGUUGUGCAGAAGUUUGUUUGAACAGCGUGACUGAGCGGUAAUUAUUGAUUCAGUGAAGCACAUGAAAACAAGGGCAGCUACAAGUCUCGCCGCUUCGGGGAAAAAAAA